UGUAAUUGUACUUCAAUGCAGGAAUCGUGAGAAUUUUCACCAAUAGGAUUUAAAUUAUUAAAAAUGAUAAAACAAAGUGGUACAAGUAACCCGGACAUUAAAGUACAUACAUAAAUUUUCAACCUCCUUUAUCCUUGCUAUAAAAAAUUUCCUAAUGUCAAGUAUAGACACACACUAACACUUUUUCAUAAAUGUAAUUUUACCUAUAUACACAAUGUAUAUUUUUCAAGGGGUCCUUGUUGCAAGGUAAAUCUGUCCUGUUCCAACUCUUUAUUUCAGCUUUCCUGUUUUUAGAAGAAUAAUUAAAGCUCAGCAUCCAGUUUUUCUCCUCUGCCAACCCCACCUAGAACUUUUCUGUUUUCUCCGCUUUGAGAGUGAUGAGGACCUGAAGGUGGAGAAAGAGUGUGACAUUGGCAUAACUUCACAAGCUUGCUGAGACCAGUCCGUGUAAUGUAACGAUACCAAUCAAGACAUUGUCAUGAUCAAUGACUGGCAAGAAUUGAACUGGAGAUGGUGGAGACUCCAUUUUCUGCAUUGCUUCUACUGCCAUUGCAUCAGGACCAAUUGUCCUUGGUUUCCUGUAACACCAAACAAGUUGUAAAAAUGACUUACCCAACAAGAUCACAAACAUAAAUAGUACUA